rnacentral:sRNA from 1 species
UAUUCUGCCCYACGGGGAAGGAUGAGAAGCUUCGACUAAGGUUCGACUCGAGCGUAGCGAGAGAACGUUGCCGMAGGCAACGGCCCGAAGGGCGAGGCGCUUUAGCGCCGAGUMAUCCUUCCCCCACCGCUG